CUACCUAGGUCGGUAAUGGGUCCGUAGGAGAUUGGUUUUCGGAUCUUUUCCGGGUUGUUACUUUCGGUUCUCACAUCUGAACCGCGCCCAACCCGCUUCAGGGCCUAUUUUUAAGUACACGCGGAGGGAAAGCCAAGCGUUUGGAACGCCAAGCGUCGGCGGAGAGCUGCCUUGGCCGAGUGCUGCGCGGCGGUGCCUCAGCUUGACUCCUCCGGCGUAGGGCAGGCGAUUCAUCUUGGCGUGGCCGUGGAGAAGGGAAGGGCGUAGCAACCCCGAUGACGGAGGGAAAGACGAAGGCUUCGGCGUCGACGGUGCGUCGAUCCGCCCUUCGUGGUUGGUUUUUAUGGUCUUCUCCUUUCGAUUCGGCAAAUGAGAACCUCCUUGUCUGCCCUUUUGCUUACCACGCUUGGAUCCUCGCGGCUGAGGGGAGUCCACCUCGACAUCCUUGGAGUUGAGGACAUCUUUUCCAUAAGUAAACCAAGUCGGCUCCAGUAAUCCAUGGACAAAAACCAUCUCAAUCUGCCCUCAGCAGCUCACAAGGCAUGAAGAAGCCUAAGGAAGAAGGAGACAAAGGCGUGGUUUGGCCUGAUGCUCUCUCUACCUUCAUCUUCCAGGCAUGAAGAAGCCUAAGGAAGAAGGAGACAAACGCGUGGUUUGGCCUGAUGCUCUCUCGACCUUCAUCUUCCAGUUGCUUCUUGUCAUGGCAACGGAAUGCAGCAAGAAAGCUGAGAAUAAAGUGACGAUUGCUACAGUGGUGGGUACGGAUUCUAUUUUCUUUGUUGUCUCUCACAAUACCAACAUUUCCAUGGAGCCCUUUGCACUAAAAGGGCAUUUUCUAUGGUCUCGAUUACACGUAACAGGGUAGCAAUCUUCCAUGUUACUAGUGGCCCAUCAUUCGCAA